AUGACGCCGGGAUUGGUGCUUUUUCCCAAUGUUUUUUAAAACAUCAGGAAAUCCAUAAUCUAUUUGUUAUGUGUUCUAUGAACACAGAAUACUCAGCCAAAGGAAAAUAAAAAGAGGGUCGAGAGAGAGGGAGAGAGACUAUGGUAGUCUACAGUCGUCGUCCGUCGUCGUUACUGUCAUUAUUUUCGCCGCCCACCGUCCUCCAUUGUCGUCCACCGCCACUGCUCUCAAUCAAGGUGCUGUUGCUGCAUUAUUGGUGGCAUACGAUUUUACAUGUCAUUUCGCGGACAACUUCAUAGACGACGAUGAUGACAAACAAUCAUCAUCACAUCAAAAAAUAAUAUCUUCUUCAUGUAUAUAUGUUAGUCAUUUUUCUAUACAUUUAGUUUUCGAUACUCACAUUUGUUUAACGUUUGUUGGUUUUUAUGUCUGCAAGAAUUAUGACUUCAUUUCUUAGUGAUAUUAAUGAGGCAAACAUUUACCUAAACUUGGAUGCGUUAGAUAACGCGGGAGGAUCGUCUUCGAUGGGCAACAAUCCAGUAGAUCCCUCUCAACCCUCUCCCACUCCCACUAUGAGAAGUCAACAGCACUCUCGAAACAUUGAGUUGGAGAGGUAUGUCCAACAGAAUGGAAGGAUCCCCAUUUCAAUCCCCCAAUGAGGGGACAAGCUUGUCUCACCAUACGCCCCUCGUUUCAGCUGCACGAUCGGUGUGUUAACGCAUGACACGUUUCUGAUACAAGUUCUAAAGUAGGUUGAUGUACCUCGAGAGUACAUCAAGCAAUUUUUCAUGCUCAAUCUCGAAGUUUCAACACUUAAUCGGUUUGUUGAGCAUCAAAUGCUCAGCGUGUGGAAGAAAUUCAGGGGAGAUAACCACCGAUAUUUUAAGAAGUACAACAACCAUAAAGAAGUAUGUGCAAAUCCGCAGCCAAGAUUCGCCAAUCGCGUGCAAAAUUGGCACUUUCUUUGUGACUAUUACAUAACUCGACAGUUUCAGAAGCUGCAGAAAGUCGUUCAUUCAAAGAUAGAUCGAGCUUAUUGAAGAACGCAGUCAUCCAGUUAAUCGUGUCAAGUUGUUUCGAGAAACGCAUGCCAGUAGGACUGAUGAGUUCAUUUCACAGUAGAAGAUGCUCUUUUCCCAGCCCGUUCUAGAGGGUUCUCAACCACUCUCUGAGGACGAGAUAUGUAGACCCUUUUAGGUAGACAACCAGGCUACUCAAAAGGUCUUGGUGGGACUCCAACCCCAAGUCCAAAAGAGUUAUGCUUUCACUUCUUCCUUCAAUAAUUAUGACCACCAGGCACACAUGAUAGAGGUUAGCGAACUAAAGACCAGCCAUGAAAAUGUUAACCGAAUAUUGGAGCACAACGACUAAGGAAGGAGGAGCGAGACCGACAAAUAGCAGACCAUGCACGACAAAAGGAGGAGAUGAAGAAGAUGAUCAAGGAGAUGAGUUGAGCACAGAGAAAGUUGUGAACACUUGGGUGCAUACUUUUCAAUAUUUAAUUUUGUUUAAUUUUGCAUCUGUACACAUUCUAACUGUACUUUAUUUCACAUUCUUUAUUUGGUGUAUGGGACUAGUAUUAUGAGAUAGGUGUAGGUUUUUUUAAUUUUAAUGUACUUGUAUUAAACAUAUUAUUUGUAGUUUUUGUUAUACAUCUUUCGUGUAUCUUCUUUUAUUAUAAAUUGAAAUCUUUUAAUUUU